UGGUGACUAUAGCAAGGAGGUCACACCUGUUCCCAUGCCGAACACAGAAGUUAAGCUCCUUAGCGUCGAUGGGCAGUUUUAAAUCGGAGAAUUAGCUCAGCUGGGAGAGCAUCUGCCUUACAAGC
rnacentral:rRNA from 1 species